ACGGGAGGCAGCAGUGGGGAAUAUUGGGCAAUGGGCGAAAGCCUGACCCAGCGACGCCGCGUGAGGGAAGAAGGUCUUCGGAUUGUAAACCUCUUUCAGCAGGGAAGAAGGAAGUGACGGUACCUGCAGAAGAAGCCACGGCUAACUACGUGCCAGCAGCCGCGGUAACACGUAAGUUGCGAGCGUUGUUCGGAAUUAUUGGGCGUAAAGGGUAUGUAGGCGGUCGUGCAAGCUUGGUGUGAAAGGCAGGGGCUCAACCCCUGGACUGCAUUGAGAACUGCAAGACUUGAAUUGCUGAAGGGCAGCCGGAAUUCCAGGUGUAGGGGUGAAAUCUGUAGAUAUCUGGAAGAACACCAAUGGCGAAGGCAGGCUGCUGGCAGAUGAUUGACGCUGAGGUACGAAAGUGCGGGGAGCAAACAGGAUUAGAUACCCUGGUA
rnacentral:rRNA from 1 species